rnacentral:lncRNA from 1 species
UUCUCAUUUGACAUGAUACAUUAAAUAGGAUGAACAAAUAUCGUAUUUGUAAGCUGGCUGCCUCUCAUAUAUAAAUAGACAGGUAUGAUAAAUGUAUUUAAAUGCUCCGAAUUGUAAAAUGAGUUGACAUUUAUUACUUGAUAUGAAGUUUUCCAUGUUAUGCAUUUCAAUAUUUGAGAAGAUUUCAGGAUUAAAACUUUAAUCCAUGAUUAUUCCAUUGUUUUUUUUAUACUUUGAAUUAAUGUAACACCACAAAUUAUUCUGACAAAAGAGAAGUGCAAAAUCUGACGUACCUCAAAGACUUUUUACAAACCAAUCGAACGGAAGUUAACAUUGAAAUUCUUAAUCUAUAUUUAAGAACAGACAAAGGGAAAUGGAAACAACGUCCCUUAGAAUAAUAUUGUAUUUACCUGGUUAUUAUGGAAGGUCUUGAUUUACAUAGGAUGCAAAAUCCACCUUUUUAAAAAGCUUAGGAUCUCGGAGCAUCAAAUUCUUUUUCAUUCUCUGAGGAAAAUCCAGUUAUUACUUCUUAAUUACAACAUUCUAUUUUAAAUCUUCUAUGUAUUGUCACAUAUACAUUGUAGUACUGUGUCAUGUAUUGUCUUCAUACGUGUAUAUAUUUUGUAACAGUUUAAAUGACUGGGUCAAACGCAGACACAGUGACCCAUGCACCCAUUCAUGUAUUUUCUGGUACAUAAAGUGUAAAAAUAAACUCAUCAUAGAUACCAGGACUUAAUUUUGUAUAUACGCCAGACGCGUGUUUUGUCUACAAAAGACUCAUCAGUGACGCUCGAAUCCAAAACAAAUGAAAAGGCCAAAUAAAGUACGAAGUUGAAGAGCAUUAAGAACCAAAAUUCCUAAAAGUUUUGCCAAAUACAGCUAGGGUAAUCAAUGCCUGAGGUAGAAAAGCCAUAGUUUGUUAUGGUGUAACGAAGAACAUUUAACACACUGUAUCUGUACAAACGACAUGGCAAAGAAGGGGAAACAGAUAAGGAUACACUGUAGUAAGAAAACCAGGACGAGUUCAAGA